rnacentral:rRNA from 1 species
UACGUAGGGUCCGAGCGUUGUCCGGAAUUAUUGGGCGUAAAGGGCUCGUAGGCGGUUAGUCGCGUCGGGAGUGAAAACUCAGGGCUCAACCCUGAGCGUGCUUCCGAUACGGGCUGACUAGAGGUAUGCAGGGGAGAACGGAAUUCCUGGUGUAGCGGUGGAAUGCGCAGAUAUCAGGAGGAACACCGGUGGCGAAGGCGGGUCUCUGGGCCGUAACUGACGCUGAGGAGCGAAAGCGUGGGGAGCGAACAGG